CAAGGACAGGUGAACCAGAUCAGGGUGUGACAGUUUGUCUGUUUUAAAAAUUGUUUACCAUGAUGAAAUAAUCAGGUGGUGGAAAUUUCACCCUCAAAAGAACUGUUACGUUGAUGACUUUUUGCAAAUCCUAAGUAUUUUUUUCUCCACGUUUCCAUGUCACAAUAAGUUGACAAAGUUAAGUUGAAAAACAUUGGUUCAAACAUUUUGUGCCCAGUGGGUAUGUUGCUAUUUUCUAUCUCUCCAAAGCUCAGAUGUUUCCAAUUUCACACUGUACUACAAGGUCUCUGUGGAAGACAGAUCGUCUCCUCUCUGUGACUUUCCAAACAGUCCUCUGCUUUUCCAAUUUUACCCCUAAAAGCCAACAACAACACAAUUUACACACGACUGGCAUGUAUUUUGGCCUGGUCUUGCUUCGUCUCUCCAGUGCAGGACACUCCCCAUUUCCACUGCCUUUCCUUGUGUUUCUACAGUUUACACUUCAAUGUGACUGAGACAAGUCAUUUGCCAGUGGGUUGUGUACACACUGCACAUGGGCGUGAGCAGAGCCGUAUAAGCUUGGAGCUACUACAAAGUCUGAAAGUCAACACAUUGUCUUCAGAAAGUAUUCACACCCCUUGACUUUUUUCACAUUUUGCAAUUUAAAUUGACAUUUUGUGUCACUGAACUACACACAAUACCUCAAACUCAA